CCUACGGGAGGCAGCAGUGAGGAAUAUUGGUCAAUGGACGAGCGUCUGAACCAGCCAAGUAGCGUGAAGGAUGACUGCCCUAUGGGUUGUAAACUUCUUUUAUAUGGGAAUAAAAUGUUCCACGUGUGGGAUUUUGUAUGUACCAUAUGAAUAAGGAUCGGCUAACUCCGUGCCAGCAGCCGCGGUAAUACGUAGGAUCCGAUCGUUAUCCGGAUUUAUUGGGUUUAAAGGGAGCGUAGGUGGAUUGUUAAGUCAGUUGUGAACGUUAGCGGCUCAACCGUAAAAUUGCAGUUGAAACUGGCAGUCGUGAGUACAGUAGAGGUGGGCGGAAUGCGUGGUGUAGCGGUGAAAUGCUGAGAUAUCACGAAGAACUCCGAUUGCGAAGGCAGCUCACUGGACUGCAACUGACACUGAGGCUCGAAAGUGUGGGUAUCAAACAGGAUUAGAUACCCGAGUAGUC
rnacentral:rRNA from 1 species